rnacentral:rRNA from 1 species
AGAGUUUGAUCAUGGCUCAGGAUGAACGCUGGCGGCGUGCCUAACACAUGCAAGUCGAGCGAAGCACUUUACUUGGAUUCUUUCGGGAUGACGAGUGAUUUGACUGAGCGGCGGACGGGUGAGUAACGCGUGGGUAACCUGCCUCACACAGGGGGAUAACAGUUAGAGAUGACUGCUAAUACCGCAUAAGACCACAGCACCGCAUGGUGGAGUGGUAAAAACUCCGG